rnacentral:lncRNA from 1 species
GGUUUUCUGGGUAACCCAGAAACCCAGGCAGUCACAAGUAGGCACUUUUGAGCUCAAUUUAAUUUAGGUUACGAUCAUUAUUUAAGUGACUUCUUGGUUCAUUAAAGUAGUAUACAUGACAAUGAACAACGACAUAUCAAGAUCUCAGUCAAACUAUAACACAGCCACCAGAUUUAAUCUGAUCAAUCCUUAUCAGACAACUCGUGCCAUCAGUUUCUGGAAAUUCCAGAAACUUAAUCUUUUAUCAAAAGGUCUAGUUUGACCACUUACUACACUUGAUAUAUUGACUGUUUGUAAGAUCUAAAACCAUGGAUCGAGAGUUCACAUAUCACACUAUAAUCUAG